CCUACGGGGGGCAGCAGUGGGGAAUAUUGGACAAUGGGCGAAAGCCUGAUCCAGCCAUGCCGCGUGUGUGAAGAAGGCCUUCGGGUUGUAAAGCACUUUCAGUGGGGAAGAAAGCCUUGGGGCUAAUACCCUCGAGGAAGGACAUCACCCACAGAAGAAGCACCGGCUAACUCCGUGCCAGCAGCCGCGGUAAUACGGAGGGUGCGAGCGUUAAUCGGAAUUACUGGGCGUAAAGCGCGCGUAGGCGGUCUGAUAAGCCGGUUGUGAAAGCCCCGGGCUCAACCUGGGAACGGCAUCCGGAACUGUCAGGCUAGAGGGCAGGAGAGGAAGGUAGAAUUCCCGGUGUAGCGGUGAAAUGCGUAGAGAUCGGGAGGAAUACCAGUGGCGAAGGCGGCCUUCUGGACUGACACUGACGCUGAGGUGCGAAAGCGUGGGUAGCAAACAGGAUUAGAUACCCGAGUAGUC
rnacentral:rRNA from 1 species